rnacentral:rRNA from 1 species
CACGUAGGGCGCAAGCGUUGUCCGGAAUUAUUGGGCGUAAAGAGCGUGUAGGCGGCCUGAAAGGUCAGCUGUGAAAACUCGAGGCUCAACCUCGAGACGUCGGUUGAAACCAUCUGGCUAGAGUCCGGAAGAGGAGUGUGGAAUUCCCGGUGUAGCGGUGAAAUGCGCAGAUAUCGGGAAGAACACCCGUGGCGAAGGCGGCACUCUGGGACGGUACUGACGCUGAAACGCGAAAGCGUGGGGAGCGAACAGG